UACUCAUAUAGAAUACAACUUUAUUAAAGAACAAACUAAAUAUUCAUUAUUUAAAGGUCUGACACAAUAAGACUUGUGAGAUUGCGCAAUCCUACAGGAGAUACUGAGUGGACAGGAGCAUGGAGUGACAACUCAGCAGAAUGGAAACAGAUUAGUGAUACCGAGAAGAAGAAGAUGGGAUUAGUUUUUGAUGGGGAUGGAGAAUUCUGGAUGUCGUUUGAUGACUUUUGCUCUCACUUCACGAACCUCUCAGUGUGCCGUGUCCUUCAUUCUCUCUCCUUCUUCAUCUCGGACACAUGGAAGGAAACAUCUUAUAAAGGAGCAUGGAAUUACGACAUCGACUGUGAGAACAACACAGCUGGAGGCUGCUUGGAGAAAAACCC